CCCGCGCCCGCGCCCCCGCCCCCGCCCCCGGCGCAGAAAAAGGAGUGCCUCCGACCCCGCGGCCCCGGCGCCCCCGCAGCCGGCGCGGCGAGACCCCUGCCCGCGGCUCCCCGACCGAAGCCUCCUGGUUAUUUUACAAAAGACUAGAGAAACAAUUUACACACCUGGUGUGAAAAGGAGGGAAGAAAAAGCCUUCCUUUACUUUUUCAUAAGGAAAGAAACGAAGUGCCAAGCAGUAAGCAUUUUCUGUUUGUGAAGUAUAUAUACAAUUUUGUGUUACAAAAUUUUUCCUAUUUCAAUAUUUUUUGCCAAAGUCAAGUUUGUGAAGUUUCCAAUCUAAUAGUGACUGAAGAGGACUGCCAUUGACUCAAAGCACUCUGGUCAGUACUGCAUAACUUCACCUCUUUGAAAUAUUUAGGAUGGAAAUUCACUUCAUUUUCAGAGCCAGAUCCCAUCAUGCCCAUAAAAAUGUUUGAAAAAGAAAUCCUUGAUGAACACACAAUGGCAAAUUUCCGUGGCACAACGUAUCCUCAUUGCAGCAUUCUGUGCAUGAGCUGAAGAAUCAUCAUUUAAACACUGGCUUGCAGCUUGACCCUCAUUGUGAACUUCUAGUCCAACACAUGGAGAUGCCCUGUUCACUAGGGGCUGACGGUAGAGAUGAGAGCUAAUCUGAAGCAGCUGAGACCCCCUCUGAUGGCUACACCUGGAAAGCAGAGGUUUCUGUGAUGGUCUGGCCAAUCUCCAGAUAUUAUCAAUUAUUAAAACCUGACUUUAUUUAGCAGCAAUAUCAAUUUAUUGAAUGGACUACAAGAGAUAUGAAUCAAUGGCUAUGCAUACCAUUCAGAUUUUAACUACAAGGAAUUCACAUUCCUGAAAUAAAAACAAA